rnacentral:rRNA from 1 species
AGCAGUCGCCGCGGGAAUACGUAGGUCCCGAGCGUUGUCCGGAUUUAUUGGGCGUAAAGCGAGCGCAGGCGGUUAGAUAAGUCUGAAGUUAAAGGCUGUGGCUUAACCAUAGUACGCUUUGGAAACUGUUUAACUUGAGUGCAAGAGGGGAGAGUGGAAUUCCAUGUGUAGCGGUGAAAUGCGUAGAUAUAUGGAGGAACACCGGUGGCGAAAGCGGCUCUCUGGCUUGUAACUGACGCUGAGGCUCGAAAGCGUGGGGAGCAAACAGGAUUAGAUACCCGAGUAGUCCCUGUCUCUUAUACA